rnacentral:rRNA from 1 species
GUACACUCCUACGGGAGGCAGCAGUGGGGAAUAUUGCACAAUGGGCGCAAGCCUGAUGCAGCCAUGCCGCGUGUAUGAAGAAGGCCUUCGGGUUGUAAAGUACUUUCAGCGGGGAGGAAGGCGAUCAGGUUAAUAACCUUGUUGAUUGACGUUACCCGCAGAAGCAGCACCGGCUAACUCCGUGCCAGCAGCCGCGGUAAUAAGGAGGGUGCAAGCGUUAAUCGGAAUUACUGGGCGUAAAGCGCACGCAGGCGGUCUGUCAAGUCGGAUGUGAAAUCCCCGGGCUCAACCUGGGAACUGCAUUCGAAACUGGCAGGCUAGAGUCUUGUAGAGGGGGGUAGAAUUCCAGGUGUAGCGGUGAAAUGCGUAGAGAUCUGGAGGAAUACCGGUGGCGAAGGCGGCCCCCUGGACAAAGACUGACGCUCAGGUGCGAAAGCGUGGGGAGCAAACAGGAUUAGAAACCCCUGUAGGCCCAUGAU